UACGAGAGGUCCAAACGUUAUUCGGAAUUACUGGGCUUACAGAGUUCGUAGGCGGCUCUACAAGUGAGGUGUGAAAGCCCUCGGACUCAACCGAGGAACUGCGCUUCAAACUGUAGAACUAAGAGGGAGAUAGAGGUGAGCAGAACUGAUGGUGGAGCGGUGAAAUGCGUUGAGUAUCAAUCAGGAAUUACCGGAGGCGAAGGCGGCUCACUGGGGUCUCUU
rnacentral:rRNA from 1 species